CCUGGCACCCUCUAAGGAUACCCGUCUGAGGCUCCCCAUUUUGGUGCAGGCUGCCUAGUCCCUUCUAAGACACACCCUGAGAUAGACUCACCGGAAAAGAAUUUCCCGCCUAGCCCGAGCUGGGGACUGGUGGAGCCGGUUCUGGAUCCCCUGUUGCCCCCCAACUUCAGCUACCAGAACAAUUAUUAUUAUUUUUUUGAUCCAGUUUUUAUCCAGCUGCAGGACCCAACCGCUCCAUCUCUUUCUACCCAGCACGGUGACUGGCCCCAAAGGUAUAGCUUCCCCUCCUGGGCCCCGGGCCCCUAUUUUCCUUCCAUUCCAGACAGCUUGGGAGCUUUGUGGACAUGUGACACGCGCGUGUGCCUGUGUAUGUCCCCUUCCGGGAACCUUCCAGCGGCCGGAACCGCCACCUGCUCCAGAAUGCUGGUAAUAACCUGUACGUGUUCAAGUCUGAGGAGACCUCCUAUAAGCCAUGGAGGGUGCUGUGUGUGCUCCUGUGUGCUUUGUUCCUACUGGUAGACAGAGUGUUCUCUUCGGCCGUUUUGAAGAGAUGCAUCGUGUUUAUACUGUAAUGUGUUCUAAGUCUGUCUCACAUUGAUGGGAACUGAGGCUGCUUCCGGUUCUCCCAUUUGAGGGCCAGGUGUGUUGCCACUGUGUAUGUAUGGAGGUCAGAGGACAGCUGCAGGGGUAGAUUCUCUCCUGCUACCACGUGUGUCCUGGGGAUUAAACCCAAGUUAUCAGAAUCAACAGCUGAUAUCCUUUUGCCACCUAGCUAUCUUACUAGCCUAUUGUAUAUAUUUUAAAAACCAUAUUUGUAUAAGAUAUAUUAAGAAUUACU